AACAUUUUCACAAGAAACACUAUGAAUGUGGGGAAAGUGCAUCAUCAUUUAUCAAAAAUCCAUAUAAAUCUCUUAAAAUCCAAUUAUUUUCAUUUUUUUUUUCUCCCAACCACCACACCAUAAUUAAACUACAUAAAACAAGAAUGAACCUAGUUGGGUAAGCAAACUCAAAUAAACCCAAUUGCAAGAGAAUCUACCUAUAAUAUAUUCAUCAAUAUAGUUUUAUUUAGGUUUAAGAGUCAGAAUCUCUUUAUGGCUCUUGCCUGU